rnacentral:snoRNA from 1 species
UGGACCAGUAGUGAAAAUAUAUCAUGAAUUAUAACAUAUGAUUAACUCAAGUGUCUGCCACUGAGGUCCAA